rnacentral:rRNA from 1 species
GAUGAACGCUAGCGGCAGGCCUAACACAUGCAAGUCGAGGGGUAACUAGAGUGAUAGCAAUAUUACUUUGGCUAGACCGGCGCACGGGUUCGUACACGUAUGCAACCUACCUUAUACUGGGGCAUAACUUCGAGAAAUCGGUGCUAAUACCCCAUAACAUUGCGAAGAGGAAUCUCUUUGCAAUUAAAGCUCCGGCGGUAUAAGCUGGGUAUGCGUCCAAUUAGCUAGUUGGUGAGGUAACGGCUCACCAAGGCUACGAUUGGUCGGGGUUCUGAGAGCAUGAUCCCCCACACUGGUACUGAGACACGGACCAGACUCCUACGGGAGGCAGCAGUGAGGAAUAUUGCGCAAUGGACGAAAGUCUGACGCAGCCAUGCCGCGUGCAGGAUGACGGCCCUAUGGGUUGUAAACUGCUUUUGUACGGGAAUAAACCCUUCUACGUGUAGGAGGCUGAAGGUACCGUAAGAAUAAGCACCGGCUAACUCCGUGCCAGCAGCCGCCGUAACAC